rnacentral:lncRNA from 1 species
AGAGACUACAGAUAGACGCAGCUAACUUCAGAGAGUGUGGCUUCAGGGAAACAUCACCUUCUUCCCAAACUAGCCCCUUUCCAAUUCCCCAUCCCACUGAGAGGCACUUUUACCGCCCAAUAAAAUCCUUCGCAUACACUACCCAUCAAUUCGUUCAUGUGACCUGAUUCUUCCUGGAUGCUGGACAAGAACCCGGGUGCUGAAAGGGUAAGGGCUUAGACACUGCUGCAGAGCCCGUACAAAGUGUGCUCUGCCAGAGAGGAGUAUGGAUAAUUCCUCUUCUCUAGGCUCUCUCUGCAUCAUGGGUGCUGGAAACUGCUGGUUCCAGUGUUUGUUUCCUCUGGUUCCCACACUCGCUUACACACUCCUGCUUGUGAGAAGUGGCCAGCAGUGGGCUGACUGAAAUUAGCUACUCCAGUUUCCACCCACUAAGGGAGUCAAUGUCAAGGGAACAAUCCCAUGUCAUCUGGGGGCCCGUCCAGGAUACGAAAAAGGAGGCCAUCGAGACUUCAAAUGUGCAGGCAGCCGGAGCCUCGGAUGAUGGCUGCCUUUUGCCGGGGACCCUUGGGCAGACCUCUUGGAGGAAUCCGACUGCGAUUUUCCCCAAACAACGUCCCCUUUUAGCAGGAAGUAGCUAAGACCAGUCAUCAUCUAUAUUCUAACGGCAGUUAGAUGUGCCUCUUCAGAGGGGGAAAUGAUACAGAACAGCCAGAAUAAACCCCACUCUUAGGCCUGGAACCACAACCUUAAGUGAAAACAGCUGGCCCUGUUUCUCCUGCCCAAAUGUUGCCUUUUUGGCCUGCCACCCCUUAUCCUGUGCCCAUAAAAGGACUUCAGCUGGCAGAGCAACACAAAUGGCUGAGCAUCAGGGAUACAAGCUGCUGAGUGUUGGGCAUAUACGCGGCUGAGUAGCGAACAAAGAAGUAACAACUGAGCAUUGGAGACUAUGGAUAGAUGCAGCUAACUUCAGACAGUGUGGCUUCAAGGAAAGAUCACCUUCUUCCCCUUUCCCCAUCCCACUAAGAAUCACUUUUAUCAGCCAAUAAAAUCCUCUUCAUACAC